AAGACCUUGCGCUUUUGGAGCGGCCGAUGUCUGAUUAGCUAGUUGGUAGGGUAAUGGCCUACCAAAGCUUCGAUCAGUAGCUGGUCUGAGAGGACGACCAGCCACACUGGGACUGAGACACGGCCCAGACUCCUACGGGAGGCAGCAGUGGGGAAUUUUGGACAAUGGGCGCAAGCCUGAUCCAGCCAUGCCGCGUGAGUGAAGAAGGCCUUCGGGUUGUAAAGCUCUUUCAGCCGGGAAGAAAAGGCUGCGACUAAUAAUCGCAGUUCAUGACGGUACCGGAAGAAGAAGCACCGGCUAACUACAUGCCAGCAGCCGCGGUAAUACGUAGGGUGCGAGCGUUAAUCGGAAUUACUGGGCGUAAAGGGUGCGCAGGCGGUUUUGUAAGUCAGAUGUGAAAUCCCCGGGCUUAACCUGGGAACU
rnacentral:rRNA from 1 species